rnacentral:rRNA from 1 species
GACGAACGCUGGCGGCGUGCUUAACACAUGCAAGUCGAACGGUAAGGCCCUUCGGGGUACACGAGUGACGAACGGGUGAGUAACACGUGGGUGAUCUGCCCUACACUUCGGGAUAAGCCUGGGAAACUGGGUCUAAUACCGGAUAGGACCCUGGGAUGCAUGUCCUGGGGUGGAAAGCUUUUGCGGUGUGGGAUGGGCCCGCGGCCUACCAGCUUGUUGGUGGGGUGAUGGCCUACCAAGGCGACGACGGGUAGCCGGCCUGAGAGGGUGACCGGCCCGACUGGGACAGACAAACGGCCUGGACUGCUACGGGGAGCAGCAGUGGGGAAUAUUGCACAAUGGGCGCAAGCAUGAUGCAGCGACGCCGCGUGAGGGAUGACGGCCUUCGGGUUGUAGACCUCUUUCAGCACCGACGAAGCGCAAGUGACGGUAGGUGCAGAAGAAGGACCGGCCAACUACGUGCCAGCCGCCGCCGUAA